rnacentral:rRNA from 1 species
GACGAACGCUAGCGGCAGGCUUAAUACAUGCAAGUCGUGGGGCAGCAUGAAUGUAGCAAUACAUUUGAUGGCGACCGGCAAACGGGUGCGGAACACGUACACAACCUUCCUAUAAGUGGGGAAUAGCCCAGAGAAAUUUGGAUUAAUACCCCGUAACAUAACGAUGUGGCAUCACAUUGUUAUUAUAGCUUCGGCGCUUAUUGAUGGGUGUGCGGCUGAUUAGAUAGUUGGCGGGGUAACGGCCCACCAAGUCUACGAUCAGUAGCUGAUGUGAGAGCAUGAUCAGCCACACGGGCACUGAGACACGGGCCCGACUCCUACGGGAGGCAGCAGUAAGGAAUAUUGGUCAAUGGACGCAAGUCUGAACCAGCCAUGCCGCGUGAAGGAUUAAGGUCCUCUGGAUUGUAAACUUCUUUUAUCUGGGACGAAAAAAGGCUUUUCUAAGUCACUUGACGGUACCAGAUGAAUAAGCACCGGCUAACUCCGUGCCAGCCGCCGCGGUAACAC